AGGGUCAGACACGCUAGAUCUUCGAUAAGAUACUUUCUUUUGUCUUUACGCUGGAGUGAUAGUGCAGGAAGAAUACGGUGUAACACUUCAAGAUGCUAAACUGAUGUAUGGGGCACUGUAAGAUUCAUGCUGGAUCUGAUGCGUAACAUGAUACAGACUACAAAAGUCAGACUGAGGCACAGCCGUGGAUUGCGCUAAUACAUUUUUUGUAGCUGAAACUUUCCGAGUGUCAACCCCACUGUGAAAAUGAGACCA